rnacentral:tmRNA from 1 species
GGGGAUGCCGAGCUUCGACGGAACGUUUCCUCAUAAUUUGCAAGUCGAGUUGGCCAACUCGUUAAUCCGGCCAAACCAAGACAAAUGCCAACGUCUUAAACAAAGCAAAGGCCGCUAUCGCUAACGCGUUCAGCAUGCCUGUAGCUCAACCGGUGCUCGCAUAGUCGACCACCUCGAUCGCCUCUCGCAUGCCCGAUGCUUGAGCUCGAUCGUCAUAAUUCGGGCUUGGUAUUCAUCCCUGGCAUGUAGAUGAAUCACGACAAGGCACCAUGCCAACGAUUUACACAGCUCGCCUGCUCGUUCGUGUAAAUUGUAAACUAGAGCCGGCUAAACUUGUGAACGAAAGUUAUGAUGUUCGUUUUCGGACGGGGGUGCGACUCCCCCCAUCUCCACCA